rnacentral:rRNA from 1 species
GCUGGGUGGAUUAGUGGCGAACGGGUGAGUAACACGUGAGUAACCUGCCCUUAACUCUGGGAUAAGCCUGGGAAACUGGGUCUAAUACCGGAUAGGAGCGCCUACCGCAUGGUGGGUGUUGGAAAGAUUUAUCGGUUUUGGAUGGACUCGCGGCCUAUCAGCUUGUUGGUGAGGUAAUGGCUCACCAAGGCGACGACGGGUAGCCGGCCUGAGAGGGUGACCGGCCACACUGGGACUGAGACACGGCCCAGACUCCUACGGGAGGCAGCAGUGGGGAAUAUUGCACAAUGGGCGCAAGCCUGAUGCAGCGACGCCGCGUGAGGGAUGACGGCCUUCGGGUUGUAAACCUCUUUCAGUAGGGAAGAAGCGAAAGUGACGGUACCUGCAGAAGAAGCACCGGCUAACUACGUGCCAGCAGCCGCGGUAAUACGUAGGGUGCGAGCGUUAUCCGGAAUUAUUGGGCGUAAAGAGCUCGUAGGCGGUUUGUCGCGUCUGUCGUGAAAGUCCGGGGCUUAACCCCGGAUCUGCGGUGGGUACGGGCAGACUAGAGUGCAGUAGGGGAGACUGGAAUUCCUGGUGUAGCGGUGGAAUGCGCAGAUAUCAGGAGGAACACCGAUGGCGAAGGCAGGUCUCUGGGCUGUAACUGACGCUGAGGAGCGAAAGCAUGGGGAGCGAACAGGAUUAGAUACCCUGGUAGUCCAUGCCGUAAACGUUGGGCACUAGGUGUGGGGACCAUUCCACGGUUUCCGCGCCGCAGCUAACGCAUUAAGUGCCCCGCCUGGGGAGUACGGCCGCAAGGCUAAAACUCAAAGGAAUUGACGGGGGCCCGCACAAGCGGCGGAGCAUGCGGAUUAAUUCGAUGCAACGCGAAGAACCUUACCAAGGCUUGACAUGUUCUCGAUCGCCGUAGAGAUACGGUUUCCCCUUUGGGGCGGGUUCACAGGUGGUGCAUGGUUGUCGUCAGCUCGUGUCGUGAGAUGUUGGGUUAAGUCCCGCAACGAGCGCAACCCUCGUUCCAUGUUGCCAGCACGUAAUGGUGGGGACUCAUGGGAGACUGCCGGGGUCAACUCGGAGGAAG